UCUGAAUGGCUGCCUUUUUGAGUCUCCAGCAAACGUUAAGACUCUCCCUUAACCCCACCCAAAGCACUGAAUGAAAAGACUUGUCAAACUCUCAUCUGCCCUGGGGCCUUUGCACGUGCUGUUCCAGCUGCCCCUCCCCCAUCACUGGACAGAGUCUUCCUACCUUUAGGAUUCCACGUAGAGGUUCACCACCUCAGGGAAGCCCUUCCAGACUCCUCGUCUGAAGUAGAUUCCCUGACUUUACUGACUCCCAGAGGUCCACUCUUCUCUUCUACUUAACACUUGUAAUCAUGUACCACAUUGACUGUGUGCUGUCAACCCCCAAAUCGCCUGACCUGGAAAUCCCAUGAGAUCAAGGACCACAUCCUUAUCUUCAACAGCGGAUUCUCAGAGUCCAGCAGUAUGGCCUGGACUUUGAAGAUUUCACAGACAACUGAUUAGAAUGUACUAUUUCUGGACUCAUCUGGUGUGGUGUGGCACCGCUUUGUGUGAUAGAGAAGAUAGACCUUAUUUGUCAUGUGUGGGGCAGUCUUUUGCCAUUUUACCAUUUGCCUUUUGACUUUGUUUAUGGUACUUUGUUGUUCAAAUGCUUUAAAAGGUUUUAUGUCAUCAAAUAUGUUUUCCUUUAUAGAAUUUAGGUUUUGUGACUUGAACAGAAAGGCCUUUCCUGCUCUGAUACUAAGAAAUAAAACAAAAAUGGGGCAAAGACUCCCACGCUUUUUUUGGUGCCUCUAAUAUUGUAUGUUUAAAAUUUUAAACCAUAUAGAAUUUAUUUUGGUAUAAAGAGUGAGGUUUGGAUUUGAAUUUGUAUUUUUUCCAGAUGGCACUCAGUUGUUCUAAGUCUAUUUAUUGAUUGGCCCAGCUUUUUCCCAUUGCUUUGAUGUUUGGUUUUCAUCUUUUGGAGGUAAUUAUUCUCAAUAAAAAGGCCAAAUCAGACAUCAUUAAAUUCUGGGUAUGAAAAUUUUUCAGUUAGUUUAUUCAGUUUAGAAGCUACUGAAAACAAUUCCUUUAUAUACAACUCUUAAUCCAUUUGGCAGUUUGGUACUCACUUUUCACCAAAUGAAAGAAAUCAUGCAUCAUAAAUGUUGAUGAAGUUUUCUUUUUUUAUUUUCUUCUCUCUCUCUUUUUAAAAGAGUUUUAGAGAGAGAGCA